CCUACGGGAGGCAGCAGUAGGGAAUCUUCCACAAUGGACGAAAGUCUGAUGGAGCAACGCCGCGUGAGUGAUGAGGGUUUUCGGAUCGUAAAACUCUGUUGUAAGGGAAGAACACGUACGAGAGGAAGUGCUCGUACCUUGACGGUACCUUACGAGAAAGCCACGGCUAACUACGUGCCAGCAGCCGCGGUAAU
rnacentral:rRNA from 1 species